rnacentral:tRNA from 1 species
GGAGAAGUACCCAAGUGGCCGAAGGGGCUCCCCUGCUAAGGGAGUAGACGUGUCAAAAGCGUGCGAGGGUUCAAAUCCCUCCUUCUCCGCCA